rnacentral:rRNA from 1 species
AUUGAACGCUGGCGGCAGGCUUAACACAUGCAAGUCGAGCGGUAACAGAGAGAAGCUUGCUUCUCUGCUGACGAGCGGCGGACGGGUGAGUAAUGCCUAGGAAUCUGCCUAGUAGUGGGGGAUAACUUGCCGAAAGGUAAGCUAAUACCGCAUACGUCCUACGGGAGAAAGGAGGGGACCUUCGGGCCUUUCGCUAUUAGAUGAGCCUAGGUCGGAUUAGUUAGUUGGUGAGGUAAUGGCUCACCAAGACCGCGAUCCGUAACUGGUCUGAGAGGAUGAUCAGUCACACUGGAACUGAAACACGGUCCAGACUCCUACGGGAGGCAGCAGUGGGGAAUAUUGGACAAUGGGGGGGACCCUGAUCCAGCCAUGCCGCGUGUGUGAAGAAGGUCUUAGGAUUGUAAAGCACUUUAAGUUGGGAGGAAGAGCAGUUAACUAAUAUUUGACUGUUUUGACGUUACCGACAGAAUAAGCACCGGCUAACUUCGUG